rnacentral:rRNA from 1 species
GCGAGUCUGAAUAGGGCGCAUAAGUAACAGGUCGUAGACCCGAAACCAGGUGAUCUACCCAUGUCCAGGAUGAAGGUAAGGUAAUACUUACUGGAGGUCCGAACCCACGCACGUUGAAAAGUGCGGGGAUGAGGUGUGGGUAGCGGAGAAAUUCCAAUCGAACUUGGAGAUAGCUGGUUCUCUCCGAAAUAGCUUUAGGGCUAGCCUCGAGGUAAAGAGUCAUGGAGGUAGAGCACUGUUUGGACUAGGGGCCCUUCUCGGGUUACCGAAUUCAGAUAAACUCCGAAUGCCAUGUACUUAUACUCGGGAGUCAGACUGCGAGUGAUAAGAUCCGUAGUCGAAAGGGAAACAGCCCAGACCACCAGUUAAGGUCCCCAAAUAUAUGUUAAGUGGAAAAGGAUGUGGGGUUGCUUAGACAACCAGGAUGUUGGCUUAGAAGCAGCCACCAUUGAAAGAGUGCGUAAUAGCUCACUGGUCGAGUGACCCCGCGCCGAAAAUGUACCGGGGCUAAACAUAUUACCGAAACUGUGGAUGAACCUCUUUAGAGGUUCGUGGUAGGAGAGCGUUCUAAGGGCGGUGAAGUCAGACCGGAAGGACUGGUGGAGCGCUUAGAAGUGAGAAUGCCGGUAUGAGUAGCGAAAGAAGGGUGAGAAUCCCUUCCACCGAAUAUCUAAGGUUUCCUGAGGAAGGCUCGUCCGCUCAGGGUUAGUCGGGACCUAAGCCGAGGCCGAUAGGCGUAGGCGAUGGACAACAGGUAGAGAUUCCUGUACCAGUGCUAAUUGUUUAACCGAUGGGGUGACACAGAAGGAUAGGGAAUCGCACGAAUGGAAAUGUGCGUCCAAGCAGUGAGUGUGAGAAGUAGGCAAAUCCGCUUCUCGCGAAGCAUGAGCUGUGAUGGGGAAGGAAAUUAAGUACGGAAGUUCCUGAUUUCACGCUGUCAAGAAAAGCCUCUAGGAAGAGUAGUACUGCCCGUACCGCAAACCGACACAGGUAGAUGAGGAGAGAAUCCUAAGGUGAGCGAGAGAACUCUCGUUAAGGAACUCGGCAAAAUGACCCCGUAACUUCGGGAGAAGGGGUGCUCUAUUAGGGUGCAAGCCCGAGAGAGCCGCAGUGAAUAGGCCCAGGCGACUGUUUAGCAAAAACACAGGUCUCUGCAAAACCGUAAGGUGACGUAUAGGGGCUGACGCCUGCCCGGUGCUGGAAGGUUAAGAGGAGUGCUUAGCUUCGGCGAAGGUACGAAUUGAAGCCCCAGUAAACGGCGGCCGUAACUAUAACGGUCCUAAGGUAGCGAAAUUCCUUGUCGGGUAAGUUCCGACCCGCACGAAAGGCGCAACGAUCUGGGCACUGUCUCAACGAGAGACUCGGUGAAAUUAUAGUACCUGUGAAGAUGCAGGUUACCCGCGACAGGACGGAAAGACCCCGUGGAGCUUUACUGCAACCUGAUAUGGAAUGUUUGUACCGCUUGUACAGGAUAGGUAGGAGCCGAAGAGACGUGUGCGCUAGCAUACGAGGAGGCAAUGGUGGGAUACUACCCUGGCUGUAUGACCAUUCUAACCCGCCACGCUUAGCGCGUGGGGAGACAGUGUCAGGUGGGCAGUUUGACUGGGGCGGUCGCC